ACUUGAAUAAAGGUUUUGAGGCCUCACUCACGUGUGAUCAGCAGCAGCCCACUGGUAUCGAUUGCAGUCCGUGCCGUUUAUCGAUUCAAAUUGUACGGCGGUAGUAUUUGCGAGCGGGGUGGUCGUUUAUGUUGAGCAGCAUCACGCAGGUUCGUUUUAAUUAGUUAUCAGUAAUAUCUCAGCCAGUUUAUGCGUAUAAAAUUCGAUAGCUGCCACCAAGCGAAGAUGUUUAAAGACGGUAAACUUUAUCAGCUGGCGGCGUUUCACUAGCAUAACGGCUGCAUGCACGGCUUCCGCCGUUUGUGAUCUGCCGCGUCUGGCCGCGUAAUGACGUGUUGCUCGAAAAAGAAAGUGCUGGCCAGCACGAAAAUUCAUCGCUGGAACCGAGCACAGUCUGCUUGAAGACUACCCACGAAAGCGGAUUAACCUUGCAGCCCCUGGGCUUGUGCGCCGCCUCCAAGACGCUGCUCAUAUUUGGACUCAUCCCUUUGGACUCUAUUGUCUCUGAACGUACAAGUCAACCGUGAAUGUGUCACCACUGGAAGUAACAUCAAGGGCCAGCAUCAUCACAGGGAAGACGGACAAAAGAGAGAUUAUUGGUCUGCAAGCUGCCCACGCUAAGCCACAAGAUGCUCAACUGUCACCAUAAUGACAACAGGUCCUCUUGAACUACGUGCCUCACUAUGAAAUGUUUGGAAGUUUACCAGAUAGAGAGGUGUGAGCCCUGUUAGGAAAGCAGCAGUCUACAGUUCUGUAUCGUACCGAGCGGGAAUGAGAAAUUUGACAUACAAGCUUAGUUGCUUUUAAGGGCGUUUUAUGACAAUCGGGGAAGUAACAUGUUGAGUCCCAACUUGUUUCUUUUCCAGUCAUUAUAGCCGUGACGACCAGAACAGAAACAAUGUAGCAAGCUCCUACUUGCUAAUGCACAAACUCUGUCAUCUGCUCUGUGCAAAUCAAUUUGACGGGCAUUAGUACCAUGAAGUAUCACAUGCUCCCUCACAACGAUACUUUGUUACAUGAAAAUGCAAAGAAUUUUAAAAUGAUCAAAAGCGCCUAAUGCAAUUUUAAGGAAAUGACACUUCAUGUUGACUGAAACUCUGGCAGUCACUCUUCAUUUUAUUUUUUGUUUAAAGUACCCUCAGGGCCACCUCGCAUUAAAGAGGGGAGUGGUUACAAAGUAGUAGAGUAAAACAAACAAGUGCAGUGAGUUCUUGUAACAUAAUGAUUCUCCUGAUUAUACAAUGUUAGCUAAUGUUUUGCAAAAAGUUUGUUAUCUGUGAUGGCUACGAUACUUGGUGGUUACAUUUCUGAGAUGUACGGGGCAUGAAAGAAAGACUUCGUGUUACAUGAAUCAAUCCCUACCUUACUGCGAUGAUCGACGCAAUUUGAAAUGCACUGAGGCCGCAGUAUGAAGUCGUCAUGAAGUGUGGUGCGAUAAAAAAUUUUAUGAAAUAGCAAAAGAUGGCCGACUCUGCGGCGAUUAGCUAGUGGAAUGAGUGCUAGACUAGUUUACAUUGAAGUUAUACUUGCGGUACGGUUAUAAUUAGAAAUAAUGAAACGAGUAGAGUUACUGUGU